CACGUAGGGGGCAAGCGUUGUCCGGAUUUAUUGGGCGUAAAGAGCUCGUAGGUGGUUCGAUAAGUCGGGUGUGAAACCUCCAGGCUCAACCUGGAGACGCCACCCGAUACUGUCGUGACUAGAGUCCAGUAGGGGAGCGUGGAAUUCCUGGUGUAGCGGUGAAAUGCGCAGAUAUCAGGAGGAACACCAGCGGCGAAGGCGGCGCUCUGGGCUGGCACUGACACUGAGGAGCGAAAGCCAGGGGAGCAAACGGG
rnacentral:rRNA from 1 species